CUACGGGACGCUGCAGUGGGGAAUAUUGCACAAUGGGCGCAAGCCUGAUGCAGCCAUGCCGCGUGUAUGAAGAAGGCCUUCGGGUUGUAAAGUACUUUCAGCGGGGAGGAAGGGAGUAAAGUUAAUACCUUUGCUCAUUGACGUUACCCGCAGAAGAAGCACCGGCUAACUCCGUGCCAGCAGCUGCGGUAAUACGGAGGGUGCAAGCGUUAAUCGGAAUUACUGGGCGUAAAGCGCACGCAGGCGGUUUGUUAAGUCAGAUGUGAAAUCCCCGGGCUCAACCUGGGAACUGCAUCUGAUACUGGCAAGCUUGAGUCUCGUAGAGGGGGGUAGAAUUCCAGGUGUAGCGGUGAGAUGCGUAGAGAUCUGGAGGAAUACCGGUGGCGAAGGCGGCCCCCUGGACGAAGACUGACGCUCAGGUGCGAAAGCGUGGGGAGCAAACAGGAUUAGAUACCCCAGUAGUC
rnacentral:rRNA from 1 species